AGCGAACGCUGGCGGCAGGCUUAACACAUGCAAGUCGAGCGGGCGUAGCAAUACGUCAGCGGCAGACGGGUGAGUAACGCGUGGGAACAUACCUUUUGGUUCGGAACAACACAGGGAAACUUGUGCUAAUACCGGAUAAGCCCUUACGGGGAAAGAUUUAUCGCCGAAAGAUUGGCCCGCGUCUGAUUAGCUAGUUGGUGAGGUAACGGCUCACCAAGGCGACGAUCAGUAGCUGGUCUGAGAGGAUGAUCAGCCACAUUGGGACUGAGACACGGCCCAAACUCCUACGGGAGGCAGCAGUGGGGAAUAUUGGACAAUGGGCGCAAGCCUGAUCCAGCCAUGCCGCGUGAGUGAUGAAGGCCCUAGGAUUGUAAAGCUCUUUUGUGCGGGAAGAUAAUGACGGUACCGCAAGAAUAA
rnacentral:rRNA from 1 species